GAUGAACGCUGGCGGCGUGCCUAAUACAUGCAAGUCGAGCGAACAGACGAGGAGCUUGCUCCUCUGACGUUAGCGGCGGACGGGUGAGUAACACGUGGAUAACCUACCUAUAAGACUGGGAUAACUUCGGGAAACCGGCGCUAAUACCGGAUAAUAUAUUGAACCGCAUGGUUCAAUAGUGAAAGACGGUUUUGCUGGCACUUAUAGAUGGAUCCGCGCCGCAUUAGCUAGUUGGUAAGGUAACGGCUUACCAAGGCAACGAUGCGUAGCCGAGCUGAGAGGGUGAUCGGCCACACUGGAACUGGGACACGGUCCAGACUCCUACGGGAGGCAGCAGUAGGGAAUGUGCCGCAAUGGGCGAAAGCCUGACGGAGCAACGCCGCGUGAGUGAUGAAGGUCUUCGGAUCGUAAAACUCUGUUAUUAGGGAAGAACAAAUGUGUAAGUAAAUAUGCACGUCUUGACGGUACCUAAUCAGAAAGCCACGGCUAACUACGUG
rnacentral:rRNA from 1 species